GGAAGCAUGGCUCAAAUGGUAGAGCUCCUGCCUAGAAAGCACAAGGGCCUGGACUCAAACCUCAGUAUUGCCA
rnacentral:tRNA from 1 species